UACGUAGGGGGCAAGCGUUGUCCGGAUUUAUUGGGGGUAAAGAGCGUGUAGGCGGCUUUACAGGUCCGUUGUGAAAACUCGAGGCUCAACCUCGAGACGCCGGUGGAAACCGUAAGGCUAGAGUCCGGAAGAGGAGAGUGGAAUUCCUGGUGUAGCGGUGAAAUGCGCAGAUAUCAGGAAGAACACCCGUGGCGAAAGCGGCUCUCUGGAACGGUACUGACGCUGAGACGCGAAAGCGUGGGGAGCGAACAGG
rnacentral:rRNA from 1 species